rnacentral:rRNA from 1 species
CCUACGGGCGGCAGCAGUAGGGAAUUUUCGUCAAUGGGGGAAACCCUGAAGGAGCAAUGCCGCGUGGAGGAAGAAGGUUUUCGGAUUGUAAACUCCUUUUGUUAGAGAAGAUAAUGACGGUAUCUAAAGAAUAAGCAACGGCUAACUCCGUGCCAGCAGCCGAGGUAAUACGGAGGGUGAAAGCGUUACUCGGAAUCACUGGGCGAAAAGAGCGCGUAGGCGGGAUAGCAAGUCAGAUGUGAAAUCCUAUGGAUUAACCAUAUGUCUGCAUUUGAAACUGUUAUUCUAGAGUAUGGGAGAGGUAAGUGGAAUUCUUGGUGUAGCGGUAAAAUCCGUAGAGAUCAAGAGGAAUACUCAUUGCGAAGGCGACCGUCUAGAACAUAACUGACGCUGAUGCGCGAAAGCGUGGGGAGCAAACAGGAUUAGAUACCCCAGUAGUC